GCAGUCGAGGGGUAUUGUUCUUCGGAAUGAGAGACCGGCGCACGGGUGCGUAACGCGUAUGCAAUCUACCUUUCACAGAGGGAUAGCCCAGAGAAAUUUGGAUUAAUACCUCAUAGUAUAGUAUAACCGCAUGGUUGAACUAUUAAAGUCACAACGGUGAAAGAUGAGCAUGCGUCCCAUUAGCUUGUUGGUAAGGUAACGGCUUACCAAGGCAACGAUGGGUAGGGGUCCUGAGAGGGAGAUCCCCCACACUGGUACUGAGACACGGACCAGACUCCUACGGGAGGCAGCAGUGAGGAAUAUUGGACAAUGGGCGCAAGCCUGAUCCAGCCAUGCCGCGUGCAGGAUGACGGUCCUAUGGAUUGUAAACUGCUUUUGCACAGGAAGAAACACUCGGACGUGUCCGAGCUUGACGGUACUGUGAGAAUAAGGAUCGGCUAACUCCGUGCCAGCAGCCGCGGUAAUACGGAGGAUCCAAGCGUUAUCCGGAAUCAUUGGGUUUAAAGGGUCCGUAGGCGGUUUGGUAAGUCAGUGGUGAAAGCCCAUCGCUCAACGGUGGAACGGCCAUUGAUACUGCUAGACUUGAAUUAUUAGGAAGUAACUAGAAUAUGUAGUGUAGCGGUGAAAUGCUUAGAGAUUACAUGGAAUACCAAUUGCGAAGGCAGGUUACUACUAAUGGAUUGACGCUGAUGGACGAAAGCGUGGGUAGCGAACAGGAUUAGAUACCCUGGUAGUCCACGCCGUAAACGAUGGAUACUAGCUGUUGGGAGCAAUCUCAGUGGCUAAGCGAAAGUGAUAAGUAUCCCACCUGGG
rnacentral:rRNA from 1 species